UGGAUACAUGCAGCUGGACUGUCCGCAAGAAAGAGAGAGUCUCCUGAAUUUGAUCCAGUCCUUCACUGGCGAUACGGGUAGCUCCCACUGCUGCCACACUGAGGCGUUUGCAACUCCUGUACUACCCAGGGGAUGAUCAGAGUCACCAACUGCCUAAGAGACCUAGAGAACACUGCAUGAAGUGGACUCAGUGCAGGCUGCGGAUGAUAACCAACAGCAUCACAGACAGUGGGUGUUCGUCAACGGCAGGACUGACUCCGAGACACGGGAGCCACCCUCACCAUAGUCAAGCAACAGUUGAUCCGGG